UACAGAGGGGGCAAGCGUUGUUCGGAAUUACUGGGCGUAAAGGGCGCGUAGGCGGCCUGUUAAGUCGAACGUGAAAUCCCCGGGCUCAACCCGGGAACUGCGUCCGAUACUGGCAGGCUUGAAUUCGGGAGAGGGAUGUGGAAUUCCAGGUGUAGCGGUGAAAUGCGUAGAUAUCUGGAGGAACACCGGUGGCGAAGGCGACUCUCUGGUCUGUAACUGACGCUGAGGCGCGAAAGCGUGGGGAGCAAACAGG
rnacentral:rRNA from 1 species